AAAACGGACACACGUGGUCGGGUAGAACAUACUGAGGCGUUGAGAGAUUCAUGGUUAAGGAACUAGGCAAAUUGACCCUGUAACUUCGGGAUAAAGGGUCCUCGUGAAUAGCGAGGCGCAGAGAAUAGGUCCAGGCAACUGUUUAACAAAAACACAGGGCUAUGCAAACUCGAAAGAUGACGUAUACAGCCUGACACCUGCCCGGUGCCGGAAGGUUAAGAGGAGAUGUCACUCGCAAGAGGAAGCAUUGAAUUGAAGCCCCGGUAAACGGCGGCCGUAACAAUAACGGUCCUAAGGUAGCGAAAUUCCUUGUCGGGUAAGUUCCGACCUGCACGAAUGGUGUAAUGAUCCGGACGCUGUCUCAACCAUGAGCUCAGUGAAAUUGUAGUAUCGGUGAAGAUGCCGAUUACCCGCGAUGGGACGAAAAGACCCCGUGAACCUUUACUACAGCUUAGCAUUGACCUUGGUCAUCCGAUGUGUAGGAUAGGCCGGAGGCUUCGAAGCGGGAGCGCCAGCUUUCGUGGAGCCAUCCUUGAAAUACGGCCCUUUGGCUGUCUGAGGUCUAACGCGCGAUGCGCGGACACUGCUUGGUGGGUAGUUUGACUGGGGUGGUCGCCUCCAAAAGCGUAACGGAGGCUUCCAAAGGUGCCCUCGGGUCGAUUGGUAACCGACCUCAAAGAGUGCAAUGGCAUAAGGGCGCUUGACUGGGAGGCAGACAUGCCGAGCAGGCAGGAAACUGGGGCAUAGUGAUCCGGCGGAUGUGUAUGGAAACUCCGUCGCUCAAAGGAUAAAAGGUACUCCGGGGAUAACAGGCUGAUCCCCCCCAAGAGCUCAUAUCGACGGGGUGGUUUGGCACCUCGAUGUCGGCUCGUCACAUCCUGGGGCUGGAGAAGGUCCCAAGGGUUGGGCUGUUCGCCCAUUAAAGUGGCACGCGAGCUGGGCUCAGAACGUCGUGAGACAGUUCGGUCUCUAUCUAUCGUGGGCGUGGGAGUUUUGCGUGGUGCCGUCACUAGUACGAGAGGACCGUGAUGGACAGACCUCCGGUUUACCAGUUGUGCCGCCAGGCGCACCGCUGGGUAUCUGAGUCUGGAUUGGAUAAGCGCUGAAAGCAUCUAAGUGCGAAGCCAGCCGCAAGAUGAGAACUCCAUUGAGGGUCGUCAGAGACGAUGACGUUGAUAGGAUGCAGGUGUAAAGACAGCGAUGUCAAAGCCGAGCAUUACUAAUUGCCCA
rnacentral:rRNA from 1 species